rnacentral:rRNA from 1 species
UACAGAGGUCUCAAGCGUUGUUCGGAUUCAUUGGGCGUAAAGGGUGUGUAGGUGGCGCGCUAAGUCGGGUGUGAAAUUUCGGAGCCUAACUCCGAAACUGCAUUCGAUACUGGCGUGCUUGAGGACUGGAGAGGAGACUGGAAUUUACGGUGUAGCAGUGAAAUGCGUAGAUAUCGUAAGGAAGACCAGUGGCGAAGGCGGGUCUCUGGACAGUUCCUGACACUGAGACACGAAGGCCAGGGGAGCAAACGGG